rnacentral:rRNA from 1 species
UACGAAGGGGGCUAGCGUUGCUCGGGAAUGACUGGGCGUAAAGGGCGUGUAGGCGGGACGGUAAGGUCGGGCGUGAAAUCCCUAGGCUCAACCUAGGAACUGCACUCGAAACUACCAUUCUUGAGUGUCGGAGAGGAAAGCGGAAUUCCUGGUGUAGAGGUGAAAUUCGUAGAUAUCAGGAAGAACACCCGUGGCGAAGGCGGCUCUCUGGGACGGUACUGACGCUGAGAGCGAAAGCGUGGGAGCGAACAGG